rnacentral:lncRNA from 10 species
GUGUGUGUGUGACAGUGUCUUGUUCUGUUGCCCAGGCUGGAGUGCAGUGGUGCAAUCUCGGCUCACUGCAACCUCUGCCUCCUGGAUUCAAGCAAUUCUCCUGACUCAGCCUCCCAAAUAGCUGGGAUUACAGGCAUGUGCCACCAUGGCCAGCUAACUUUUCUAUUUUUUUGUAGAGACAGUGUUUCGCCACGUUGGCCAGGCUGGUCUCAAACUCGUGGCCUCAAGUGAUCCUGAUGGUAACCAUCUUUGAGGACUGUCUACUCCAUCUCCUCCCACUGAAUGGUUGUUCAUACAAGUUGCUAGAAUAAUUCAAACAACAGCGGGCAAAUAGACCUCAAAGCCAAUACCAAUCCCCAUGCCAGGUGUUGGAAUUUCCCAUCUGUGAGCAAUGGCAAUAAAUGCUGGUGGUUCUGCUCAUUUCAACUCUUCACCCUACACCUUUGUUACUGCUCUGUUUUUUAAGUAUCAGUCUUUCCUCCCCCUAAUUAGUCCAAAAGCUCACAGGACAGGGGCCACCUGUUCUUCUCUUAUGUGACUAAAUUUACCUCGAGUCAGGAUGGUAGGUUCUGAAGGAAGUUGAAUUUGUAUAAAAGUCCGUGCAUUCAUAUUUCUUGAGCACUAACUAAAGGUGUAGAGUUUAGUUAUAGCAGUGAACAAACAAAACCCCCACACUCAUGGAGCUUACACUGUUACUGAGUAAUAAUAAUAACAAUGAUGAUAAUCAUAUCUACUAUGUAUUAAGCACCUAUUCUUUCUCUACCAGAUAUUAUGCCUGUUGUUUGACUUACAUUGUGCUCUUGAUCCUCCCAACAGCUCUAUUGUUGUCUCCAUUUUACAGAGGAAGAAAAUGAGGCUUUAAAAAGAUUAUGUAAUUUUCCCCCAGGCCACAGAGUUUAGUAGUGACAGAGACAGGAUCCAAAUCCAGGACUAUGAGGCUCUAAAAUGAGGUCCAUAACUUCUCUUCUGAUACUAGUUAGCAGAGCAGAAUGUUGAUUCUCAGUGCAGUUUUCAGUUAUCCCAAGAACAUGAUGAUAUUGCCAAAACAAAAAUAGUAGGCAAGCACAUGCAAGUGUGCAUGUGUGUGUGUGGUCACGCACAUGGGUGAAGUGGUUGGUGUUGGGAAGCCUAACAACUCUAACACUAUAAAGCAGUGGUUCCCAAAGGGGUCCAUGAGUCAAAACUAUCUUCAUAACAGUACUAAGACAUGAUUUGCCUUUUUCAUUCUCAUUCUCUCAUGAGUGUACACUGGCAUUUUCCACAGCUCAUAUGAUGUGUUAUAUCACAACACCCUGGAUGCAGAAGCAUAUAUGAGAAUCAAGCCGGCUUCUAAUAAAUCAGACAUUUAAAAGAUUUUCAAAAACUGAAGUCCGUGCCAGGCUUCUCACUAGAUUUUGCUGCUAGUUCUGAAUAUGUAGUUAUUUUUCAUAAAAGUGUUAUUUGUGUUAAUACAUAAUGGAUUUAUUAUUGUUAUUUUUAAUGAAGUAAUGUUCAAAUUUUAAUGAGGUAAUAACUGGUCCGUUUUUCUCAGUCUUAAUUGCUAAUAUGGAAAUUAUUGAUAGAUAUAAUUCAUAUAAGCAAACGCUCAUUGGAAUCCUCAGUAAUUGUUAGAGCAUGAAAAAGAGUCCUGAAACCAAAGAGUUUGAAAAUUGCUGCUGUAGUGUGUUGCAACUGGGAGAAAAAAAAAGUUGGACGCUAAAGAUGUAAGUCUUCUUCCUGAGUUUUGGGGAGCAUUUUCAGAGAUCUAAAGGAGGUGAAAUGAGAUUCUUCAGGGUUAAGAGGAGAGAGCAUCCUGGAACCAUGAAGAAUGCUUUGAAAGUUAGAGUCAAGCUGCAUGUUCUGUUCUCUCCUACCCCCGCAGUCCAGAAGUCCUGGCAGAAGCUUAAAGAUUUGAUUCAGAAAAGAACACAGGCAAAGCAACAUCUGCUUAUCGUCUUGAUUCUCUGGAGCAGUUAAUCCUUGGCUCUGAAUGAAAACUGGGAAAACAGAGGCUUGGAAGCCAGAUGCUACAAAUGAGGAAAUGCAUUGCUUUGUCAUUGCUGAAUGAACCCCCUGUCUUUAACUCCAGCUCCCUGCAUUUGGGGUAAAUAAUCUCACUGAGCAACUUGAUUAGAUCUAAGCCACGCAUUUAGUUUUUCCUAAAACAUUUUUGUCACAGCCGUGAAGAUGUGAACGAAGCAUCUACACAAGUGACUAGGUGUACACAGCCCAGCCUCACCUGAUGUGACCUUCAGUCAGAGAAGCAGAAGAUGCCUACAGACUGGCAAGUGCAUGGAACCAGCCCCAGGCUAAACAGUGACUGCUAAAAGGCUGUUAAGUGUGCAAAGGAGCUCAUCCCUAAAGGUGGGAUUCCAGGCCCUGAGACAAAGUGGAAUAAGGUGAGUCCAGGGAGAAAGGAUUCAUGGCUCAUGAGGAACAAAUCAUUGCUUCCCUGUAGAAAAUGGGCACCAUAGUUCUCUUUGCUGUCACCACUGCCAGCAUCUCCUUUUCCGCUCUUCUUUCCUACUCCUUGCUUGUUUCUUGUUUCCCACUCUAAUUUCAAGGCCAUUUUUUCUUUCUACACUUUUGCUUCCUUUUCUAGGCUUGGGGCCUGGAAUUCAUGGCACUUCUGGAGACAUGAGGUACCUUCAGUUUCAGAAAAUAAGAAGCAUGUGAAUCUCAUCUUGGGCAGAGCCAAAGCAUGCUAAGUGAGAAAUAGUCCUCCCACCAUGUGAGAGUACGCUGGGCUGCCUUUCCAUUUUAAAGAAUUGCCUUGGUGAGAUGUCUUCAGUUCUUCUGGCAAAGCUGUUUGCAUAUUAGCCCUGAAGCUUGUGCAGUGAGGCAGGAUAGAGGAAUGGGAACAGCUGGAGCCAGAGAGACCUGCUGGGAAUCUGGGCUCAGCCACUUUUGACCUGCAUGGUUUCUUGCAAGUCAGCUCAGAGCUGGACCAAAGCAGCUGUCGAUCCUUUGCCUCUUUGCACUUUGGAGCCCAGUCCUGAUGGGACCAGGUGUCAGAGCCCUGCCAAAUCUGUGAGAAGGGUGGAAGCAAGUUUCCCUGAGGGAAAAAAAAACAACAAAAAAAAACCUUCUGGAAUUGGGAAAAAUUUAGGUCAACAUCAUUUGAACCUUGACCUCUUGCUCUUUUGUCCCCGGGUGGACAUUUCCUUGACCUCCAGAAAUUCCUCCACCUCAAGGGAAGACUUCUUGCCCCCCUCACUUCCAGAGGCCUCCAAAGUGGGCUGGGAAGAGAUUUAAAGCAGGACCCUGGGAAGCAUGAUGAGACUCUGGAGUGUAGAGAGGCUUCCCUGCAAUGCAAAGAUCUUCAAAGGCCAAGCCCAAGGCACUGCAACCCCCAGGAGGGCCCACUCCAAAGCAGAACAGUGGAGGGAGAGCCUGCGUGUCAAGAAGCCUGGACAGCAAGACCCCCUACUGUGGCAGCCAGCCUGCUUGUAGGAGUCCUGAGAAGCCUAAUUCAAUUACCCUUAUCAGAAUGUCUCUGAACUUAACAAAGCAGAUAAUGAGUUCCAGAGACAGAUACUGCUUGGGGGGCCAAAAUUAUUUUGCUUCCCCAAAUUGGAGGCUGAAAUUGGAGAUGUUUGAAUAAUGGAAAACAUAAUCCUUCCCUAGGCCCAACCCCCUCCCAGUACCCACACCUGAGACACCCUUUCAACCAAGGAGCCUGGAUUCAACAUCCAUGCCGUCUCUCCUCCUGAAGACACCUGGUCAUGAACUCGACCUCUUUCCCCCACCAUCUUUGUGCCAUCGAUGGAAGGAAGCUGCGUACAGGAUGGAAGUGGGAGGGGAAAGGGAUUAACAUUUAUGGAGCCCUCCCCUCUAUGUGUCAGCUACAUAACACAUAGCAUUCAUUUCAACCACAGAACAUAUGUCUUUACAUUACAGAAGGCAACGGAGAACUGGAAAAGUUAACUUACUGCCUGAGGACCCAUCCCCAUCUCACCAGCAGCACAGUCAGAUUCAGACACAGGUAUUCAACUUUGCAACACACUGUGCCUCACGGCCUGUGUGCUCAACAUCAGAAAUCAAAUAGAAACUCCCUCAUUCUAAGAUUCAUAGCCAUCCUCCGAGAUAUGACAUAGCGACCUCUCCUCCGUGAACAGGGAAACAGACUGAGAGGAUAACCUAACUCUCCCAAGGCCAGAGUAUCCACUGGGAUAUGCAGCCAAGUCAGCCAGCAGUUGAAACAAGGGCUCUCUGUGCUAUCUCACAUCUGAAUUGAAUUGUUUCCUACAGACUUCUCAUAGCUCUCUAGGCAAGGAAUACAUCUUCUCACCUUCCCACACUAAGAAAGGCCUCUGUCUGAGCCUGGGUGCCGGGUGGCCAGGAUUCCUGCUGAACGUUCAGGAGCUUUCCAUCUCCAGAGGUGAGCUCCUAGUUCCUGCUUACCUUAGAACUGUAGAACAUAUAAUGUUACCACUGAAAAGAACCUCUCGUAUAGUUGGAUCACACCCUUUACCUAUUUAUUUAAAUGUACUGUUUUAAUUAUGUAACAUUUGAUAUGUGCAGGAUAAUAUGUAUGCAAAUUAUAAAGCAUAAUAAUAAAACCUGUGAACCCACCACUCAACCUUAGAACCAGACCAUUACAAUUGAUGUCCCUCCUACUUCCCCAACAGAAAUAACCACUGUCCGGGACUUUAUGUUUAUAGCCCCACCCCCCACAAUGAUUUUUAUAGUUUUGCCAAAUAUGUUAGCAUGGUAGAUUGCAUUAUUGCUCUGAGUUAAAUAUCCUUCCUUUGACAUAUAAUUUGGCAGUUCCUUCCAUUGGAAGUGAAAUACAUUUCUCUGCCCAAGAUGUUAGAUUUGCUUUGGUCAGUAGAAUGUUGCAGGCUGUGACGGUGAAAAUUCUGAGCCCAGGCCUUAAGAGGAAUCACCUGUUUCCACAUUCCCCACUUGUAUUUCUGCCUCUGCCAUGAGAAAAACAUGCUUCAGGUCACCUGCUGCUCCAAGGAGGAUGAGAGACCUAUGGGGAAGACCUGGACCCAAUCUGAAGUUAGAACUAAGUGCAACUGAGCCCAGCCUGGAUUAACCAACUCCCAGCCAAUCCACAGACACCUGGUUCACCACCUCCUGUCCCUGGAGGCAAUAAUGUAAUUAAGGCAGUAUGUGAAGACAGCACGCAGAAACUGUGAUGUGGAUAGCUCUCCUUGGAGAUCUGCUGGCAGACUGACUUCCAGGAAAAAGAGCCAAAGUACUUGGGAAAUGCAGACCCAAGGACUGAUCACUUUUGGGAGGUAGGUUUAUUUUUCUGCAGAUGACACUUGUCUAGAGGGAACUGGCAGUUUUCUGACUAGAGAUGGCCCUGUAGUGAGCUUAGCAGCUCCAUGGACUUAGUACCUGGGUGACCACCGUCAGCAGAGAAGCAUGUUUGGAAGACAGAGAACCAAUGAGGGAUGUUUCACACUCUUGAGGAGUUUGCCGUCAAAAAGCAAAGCAGGAUAAGCAAAAAAUGCAUGUCCUCAAACCCCAGAUAACAAACACAAAACAUCAUAGAUAGAACCAGAGCUGAGGUAGAUACACAUGGAUUCACCAUAUGCAGGUACAUGUAGAUUAGGAUGGAUGUCAGGACGUCCAGAGUGGCUGAAAUGACUGCUCCAUACUGUCAUUCCAUAGACAGGUGUCUUUUGUUUCUCUAGAGCAUUUGAGUAGUUCCCAUGAGUUGCCAUUUAUUUCGUGCUUUGGAAAAACACAGUAAGAAUCCCUUCACAUUGAAACUAGACUGAACACAACCGCAUACUCCUCAAUGAUUCAGAAGGCGUUCCAGGGCGUUGCAGGCCCUCAGGGACAUCAUUAGGAAAAUAGGUUACUGUAGAAACUGAAGGAACAGCAUCCUGAUAAUAUGAGGUUUCACAGUGAUUGGGUCCUGGAUAAAGAAGUUAUUUUCGGUAAUGAAG